rnacentral:rRNA from 1 species
UGGGGAAUAUUGCACAAUGGAGGGAACUCUGAUGCAGCGACGCCGCGUGAACGAAGUAGGCUUUCGAGUCGUAAAGUUCUUUUAUAUGGGAAGAUAAUGACGGUACCAUAAGAAAAAGCCCCGGCUAACUACGUGCCAGCAGCCGCGGUAAUACGUAGGGGGCUAGCGUUGUCCGGAAUCACUGGGCGUAAAGGGUUCGCAGGCGGAAAUGCAAGUCAGGUGUAAAAGGCAGUAGCUUAACUACUGUAAGCAUUUGAAACUGCAUAUCUUGAGAAGAGUAGAGGUAAGUGGAAUUUUUAGUGUAGCGGUGAAAUGCGUAGAUAUUAAAAAGAAUACCGGUGGCGAAGGCGACUUACUGGGCUCAUUCUGACGCUGAGGAACGAAAGCGUGGGUAGCAAACAGG